AUUGAACGCUGGCGGCAUGCCUUACACAUGCAAGUCGAACGGCAGCACGGGAGCAAUCCUGGUGGCGAGUGGCGAACGGGUGAGUAAUGUAUCGGAACGUGCCCAGUCGUGGGGGAUAACGUAGCGAAAGCUACGCUAAUACCGCAUACGAUCUGUGGAUGAAAGCGGGGGAUCGCAAGACCUCGCGCGAUUGGAGCGGCCGAUAACAGAUUAGGUAGUUGGUGGGGUAAAGGCCCACCAAGCCUGCGAUCUGUAGCUGGUCUGAGAGGACGACCGUCCACACUGGAACUGAGACGCGGUCCAGACUCCUACGGGAGGCAGCAGUGGGGAAUUUUGGACAAUGGGCGCAAGCCUGAUCCAGCAAUGCCGCGUGCAGGAUGAAGGCCUUCGGGUUGUAGACUGCUUUUGUACGGAGCGAAAAGGCUCUCUCUAAUACAGGGGGCUCAUGACGGUACCGUAAGAAUAAGCACCGGCUAACUACGUGCCAGCCGCCGCCGUAAAAC
rnacentral:rRNA from 1 species